CAGCCCUGUGCCUUGACUGCCUUCGGGAGAAAGUUUCUUGGGAAUGUAUCCAGCACCUGGCAAGCCAAAUCCUUACAAGCUCUGAAACUGAAGACAGAAAAAUGACCAGUGGAAUAGUGCUGAUUGGUCAGAGGUGCUUGUAUGUGCAAAGAAAUCAGCUCUCCAGUCCAUGAGCCAUCCUCCAGCUCAGAACCGCUACAAACGGGUGUGACUCAUUGCACAGCCAGAGGUUAUAAUGAAGUAUCCCACUCAUCUUUUAGCUCACCCUUUGUUCAAGACAAUGCAGAUUGCGGAAGGUUUCUGAGGAGGAGUAUCUGAGAUAAGUUGCUAGGAAGAAGGAGCACAGUUCUACUGGAAAGAGUGUCUUGCUGCUGACUAUGAAAAUGAUGUGGAAAUCAUGGACUGAAUUAAAGAUUUUUUGAUAUUGGUAUAUUGAUGGAAAGCUUCCUGGUAUCAACAGCUCAUGUGAAGUAGAGGAAGGGAUUCCUUCAUCCCAGAAGAAAUGUGUCCAAAUCUGGAGCUUUUCUGAAUCAAUUUGGUCUUUUAGUUGACUUCUACACAAGUCUGGCCCUGGAGCAGAGGUACUAAGUUCAUGUUACAUUAAAGCAAACCACAUAAACUUGAGAGGAUAUAAAAACAAUUUGUUCCUAACAGAAGGAGCUUCCAGAGCCAC